AGCGAACGCUGGCGGCAGGGCUAACACAUGCAAGUCGAACGAACCUUUCGGGGUUAGUGGCGGACGGGUGAGUAACACGUGGGAACGUGCCUUUAGGUUCGGAAUAACUCAGGGAAACUUGUGCUAAUACCGAAUGUGCCCUUCGGGGGAAAGAUUAAUCGCCUUUAGAGCGGCCCGCGUCUGAUUAGCUAGUUGGUUGAGGUAAUGGCUCACCAAGGCGACGAUCAGUAGCUGGUCUGAGAGGAUGAUCAGCCACAUUGGGACUGAGACACGGCCCAAACUCCUACGGGAGGCAGCAGUGGGGAAUCUUGCGCAAUGGGCGAAAGCCUGACGCAGCCAUGCCGCGUGAAUGAUGAAGGUCUUAGGAUUGUAAAAUUCUUUCACCGGGGACGAUAAUGACGGUACCCGGAGAAGAAGCCCCGGCUAACUUCGUG
rnacentral:rRNA from 1 species